UUCAAAAGUUCUUUCAAAUGACAAGAUAAAAAUUUAUAUUGCCAUUUUCCUUUAACAGUAUAUAAUUCAGUGGUGGCGCCAGGGGGGACUAAGAUCGUACAGGCAAAAACCUCUCUGGGGAGGAGUCCGUGAAACGGUAUUUCCCAUCCAGCAUUUUGAGGAUACCAUGCGCUAGAAUGCAAUUGUCUUCAACAGGGGGAGGGGCGGGCUGGCUCCCCCGACAAGGGGCUGUAGUCUCUCCCUCCUCUGGUGCCACCGUUGAUAUAAUUGUUUUUGAUACUAAGAAUAAAUUGAAUUUAUACAAUUAUAACUGAAUGAUUAUUAGACUUUAGAAUCUAGUAUGCAAGUGAGCAUAGUGUUUAAUAAAGAUAUAGAAUAACUGCGUAAGAGUUUAAAAGUAAAUUGCAUGUUUUUAGUAAUGAUUAGUAGACUUUAGGGUUUGGCAUGAUUGUAUUGCUAAUUGAUAUUUUGAAAGUUGAUAAACGUGAAAACAACGCAUUUUUGUGGAAUUGAUUAACAUCAACAACGGUGAAAGUUAAAAAGGUCAAGAAAUUGAACAAGGUGACAAAUUGCAAAGAGAGUAGUGUUUAGUGACUUGAGUUACUUAUUUGCUGUUAUCUUUAUUUGCUUAUUGGCUUUACUGAAUUUUUAAAAUCUUAAAAGAUUUUAGAGUGGACUUGCAUUUAACAUUUUGUCUCAUGUAAUCAUAGUUUUCAAAUCGGUGGCAGAACAUUACAUAUAUAUCCUUGAUUUUCUUGCGCCAUGAUUAUGUAAUUUUAUAUAUAGUGG